UUUGGUUUAAAAGGGCACUGCUGGACCAUGGUGCAGCUGCAGCUUUUGGUUUAGGAAAACUUCCCAUGUUGCUGGUAAUUUCCCCAAAGUUCCCCUAACCAGGGGAAGGCUGAAAUGGCCGUGACAGGCUGGGCAGGGUUUGCAGGGACUGAAUCCCUGUGCUGGGGCUCGUUCUCCUGCUCUGACCCAUCCCAAACGCCAGGAAUUACUGCUGCAGUGUGGGUUUGCAGUGGAAGGGUUGGACUGGUGGCAGCUCUGCCCUGGAAUCCCGGCCUUUAUUUUUCCACCCUGCUCUUCCCGGGGAACGGCAGCUGCCUGCCCCGGCACAGCUUUUGAACCCGCUGCUGGAUUCCAAGCGGGUGUGACGGAGAGGCAGAGAUGGCACAGAUGGCACAGAUAGCAGAGAUACAGCCCCGGCGGGGCACGGGGGGCAGCGUCGGGGAGCGAAUCCUCCUGCUUCGGAACCCUUUGUGAGGAGCAGGACUAGGAAAACCGUGGAGAACGAGGCAGAAUCAUAUAAUUUUACGUCACCCAGAGCACAGAUGUGCAGGUUCCUGCUUUGCCUCCCGCCGGGGGUCAGCCCCGCGCCCCCGGCCCACCCUUGACAGCUCCUGCAAAUGACCCUCUAAUGACGGGAUGGCCCCAGUGUGAAAGCUGUCGGAAUAUGCCAGCGGCCCCGGGGAGGGUCUGCUGCGGCGGGGGAGCACCAGACGCGCUUUGUUUAUCCGCCGGCCGGGAUGUGGAUUGCGGGGAGCGGCCCUUCCCUUAUCUCCGAGGAAGGAGGAAAAUCCCUUUAGCCUCCCCUUCCACGGCUGCAGGUGCGUCCCUUGCUCUCGAGCAUCCCCUCAUCAGGGUGGGAACAGCUUUGGAGCUUUCGAGCGUCUUUUGCACUGUUGGAGGGACCCCCUUGCUCCGGGUUCAGGAGCAGCCAGAGCAGGGAGGAGCUGGGGACACACCGGGGACACUCACACCCUGGCAGACCAUCAACAGCAAAAAUCAGCAGAAUCGGAUGGGCAUUUUUAAAAUAUAUAAUUUAUUGAUGAAUUGUGCAAUGAAUUGUGCAGCUGUGACCUUUUCGCUACCACCCCAUCCAGCGAGGGGGAAAAGGCUCGAGCAGAGCUGUGGUUACUUGUUUGUAACAGCUGCCCCCCUGGAUCUGCCAGCCGGGGCUCUGGACAACGGGUAAUACAUUCACUUGUCUGAGUUGUAAUAGAAAUCUGAUAGUUUUAAUAGAAAUAUAAUAGAAUCCUUAGGAGAAAUGCCUAAACCACAGGGGAGAUUGAAAAUCCUGGCGGUGUGGAUGCUCAGCAUGGCCGGAACUGCAGGGUCCUGAGGACCCGUGGGUCCUGGUGAUUCCCCUGGCUGGGAAAGGCAACAUCACCUGAGCCGUGUCACGGCAGGGAGCGACGCUGCUGUGCCCCAGUCCUGCACCUCAGCUCCUGCCUGUGUGCCAGGCACAGCAGCCACCAGCUCCUCGGGGCACCCUCCACUCCAGAGCAGCCCCUCGUGCCACGGGAAGGUGGCCGGCGGUCUUUUCCCUUUGGAGCCUGGAUCCAGCCAGGCACUGUGGCCGUGCAGUGCUGCAGAACUGCCGGGCUCCUCCCCAGGUCCAUCCCACAGGAGCGUGGGCCUCGGAGACGCCCUGGUGCGUGCAGUGCUCGUGGGUUGGUCCUCGGGGCGCUUUUGGGCAGACGUGCACCUUCCUGGCAGGGUGCAGGGUGGCCUCAGUUGCAGCCACACUCCUCGAUGAUCAUGUCCUCGUGGUGGCGGACGACGAUCUCGCCCUUCUCGUAGUAGAGCAUGGAGAGGGGGCU